rnacentral:misc_RNA from 1 species
UAAAAGUCUAACAAGGUUCCGUAGGUGAACCUGCGGAAGGAUCUUAAUAAAUUUUUUUGAAAUAAAAAAAAUAAUAAUCAUCCUACCCUUUGUGAAUUUGUUUGUUGAAUAAUUUUUAAAAUUAUUUAUGUCUAUCCAAGUUGGAAAGUUGUAAAAGACUGAAGACUUGGAGCGGCAUAAAUAAAUUUAAAGACUUUUUCUAAAUUAAACUUUUGUAUUCAUUUGUCUAAAAUAAUUUUUAUAAUAUAUAAAACGACUUUUGACAAUGGAUUCUUGGUUCUCGCAACGAUGAAGAACGCAGCAAAUGCGAUAAGUAAUGUGAAUUGCAGAUAGUGAUCAUCGAAUCUUCGAACGCAUAUUGCACUUUUUAGUUUACUAAAAGUAUGUCUGUUUGAGUAUCAGUAAAAUGUUCUCAUAAAUUUUUUAAUUUAUGUUAUGAGUGUUUACAACGAUAACAAGUUGUUUCACUUUAAAUUGAAUUUUUGAAGAAUUCUUUAAUUCAAAUUAAUUUGGAUAAAUUUUCCGUAAAAGGAAUAACUAUACAGUUUAAUAAGAAUUAGUGAUCUCUUUUAUGAAGAGGAAUUUAUAAUAACUGAUCUCAAUCAGAUAAGAGUACCGCUGAACUUAAGCAUAUCAAUAAGCGGAGGAAAAGAAACUAACAAGGAUUCCCUAGUAACGGCGAGUGAGCGGAAGAGCUCAAAUUUGAAAUCUUAAAGGGUUCCUUACGAAUUGUAGUUAAAGAAGUGUUUCUGUUGAGGUUUUGGUAAAAGUUCUUGGAAUAGACAUCAUAGAGGGUGAGAAUCCGUAUUGACCUUUACUUUCAACUUUGUGAUACACUUUCAAAGAGUCGGAUGUUUGGAAUGCAGUCCAAAAUGGGUGGUAAAUUUCAUCUAAAGCUAAAUAUUGGCGAGAGACCGAUAGCGAACAGUACCGUGAGGGAAGAUGAAAAGAACUUUGAAAGAGAGUUAACAGUACGUGAAAUUGUCAAAAGGAAGCGUUUGACACAGUGUGUUUUUCUGAAAUCAUUAAAGAACUGUUAUGCUAAGUUGUUAGACUUUAUCAGCUAACUGUUUAGUUUUGAGCUUUCUUAAUGCACUUUCAGUUAACAAGUCAACAUCAAUUUCUUUUGCGUAAAAAGCUUGAGGAAGUGGCUUGAGAUUCGUCUUAAGUGUUUAUAGCUCUUGCUAUGCAGUCGGAGAGAUUGAGGUCUGCAGCGUAGAUCCUUCGGGCUAAAUGCAUUUGUGCUAAGUUAUAGCAUUUAUAGACAACUUGUUGACUAUGAUUUGUCUGUAGCUUACUCGCUUAUUUAUUUACCUACGCUUAGGAGUU